CAACUCUAGGGGGGGGGUGCUCAUCUCCGUCUCCAAGCCAUAGAGCCAGUGUUUGUCUGAAGACAGUGUGCUGAUCCCUGCAAUUUCCCAAAAUGUGGGAAACUGGACUGCAUAAUUUGUGGUAGUGAGGGACUGUGUUUGCGCUUUCCCCUG
rnacentral:snRNA from 1 species